UGAUUCCUGAGUAGGCACAAGUUACAUGAUAUGCUUCCACAGCCAGUAAGAGCAAACAUUGGCCUCUUGCAUAUGUUGUAACCUUCAAGUAGGCAGAACAGAGGUUACACUUUUCUUCCUUUUAAAAAUUUAAUCAAGACGUGUUACCUUACACAGAGUGGAUGAUCUCUUGUGACUUCACUGCUCGCUCUGAAGGACAACUGCUGGCCAGUGCAUUGAGCAAAGAUGUUCAAGAAAAAGAACAACUUCAGUGGAAGAAGAAGAAGAUAGGAGCCCAGGUCCUGUGUUUCACCAAGACAGCCGUGCAAAGCAGAUGCUGCCAAAAAGGUGCAAAGUGGUUUGUCAGCUCUUCUGCAUGUUCUAACAAAUUAGACAUGCAUCCCAAAAGGUUUCCUAGACUUUCCAUCACCACCAGUGAAUUCUGAGUGACAAUAGUGUGGAAUUUGGAAGAAUGGAAGAGAAACUGAAGUGGAGAGAUGGUGAAAGAGAAGAAAAAAUGAAGAAAGAUGCUUGCAAAAAUACUGCUGUGGGUCCUGAGAUGAGGAUUCUGGGAGGGCUGAAAUGGAUGCCCCUGACAGCUCCCUUUGAGUUCCUGUUCAUCUGAAGUACACCAGCUUUCUAGAUAUGCUGUCACUUUCCUUCUGCAGAGCCACAGUGGUGUCCUGUCUUCUCAGACCUCUUCUCACCUCAAAUCACUUAGGACUCGGCCACCAGACAGAUUUGGGAUUUCAGAACUUUUCAGAUGUUAGAAAGUUCUUUUCUAAAUGUGAUGAGGAAUUACGGAAUCAUAAAAUGGAAGCAGAGUUAAACUCAGACAUGUGGGCACUCAAGGCAAUUAGGAGCUUUCUGCGAUGAGAAAGGGAUCAGACUGAUCCUUAAGACUUUAUGCAACCCCAGAGUAUUGCAGCCACCUGCAUGCCGAAGGUGUCAAGAGUGUUCUCACUGCUGCCUAUAGGAGGGUCUUCAGCCUCCAGUGAUCCAAAGUACCAGGCUGACCUGUGACUGCUUCGGCCAACUGAAUAGGGAAGAGUGAUGCUGUGCUGUUUCCAGGCCUGUUCUUUAAAAGUACUUGGAAGCUUCUGCCUUGGCCUCUUUGUGCCUGAGUUGCUGUAUAAGAAUCUGACUACCUUGCUGGAGAGACCUUGUGGAGAAGACUUGACCUUAUAUGCAGAGGUAGAGGGGCCCUGGUUAGUCCAGCCAUCUAGCCAUCCUGUCAAAAUAGCAGGAGUAUGAUGGCCAAUGGAUCCAAAACCUAUCCUAUAUCUACAUGUUGGUGGCCACAUUAAUCUGACAUCUGACAGCAAGAGCGAUGAUUGGGUUCACUGGAAAUCUUUGUGAAGUACGAGUGAAGUCCUUGUGAAGUCAGAGUUUCCUCUUCAUGCCUCUACUCCUAUGCAGUUUGACCUCUCAGUGUGCAGCUGGUGAUAGAUGGAAACCCUUGUUCAUAAGCUUUGUGGCACUGUCGGCAGGAUGAGGGGACUUCUGGAUCCUCACUGGUCACUGUGGCAGAGUGGUUGGUGUUGUCUGCUCCCUAGACAGGAACCCACUGAAGAAUCUGACAUUUUUUGAUAUGCUGGCAUUCAUUGUUACAGCCCAUCAUCCCAGCCAUCAAUCCAGGACAUGGGGUCUGUGCCCACGGUGGGAAGGAGGAGGGGGAAGCUGGCUUUGUUCUGACGUUGGGCUUCUUCUGCUCCACCAGUACUUUCUGUGGGGGAAAUAGGUAAAGAAAUGGCUGUUCAGAUGAGAAGAUGUGUCAGUAAACUUUUGCUACAGUGAUGCUGCAAAACAAAUCACUGGUGACUUUCAGUGGCACACAGCAAUAAACAUUUAUUUAGCUCAGGGAUUGACAAUCUUUUUUUUUUUUUAAAGGGCCAAAUAGUAAAUAUUUUAGGUGUUUCAGGCCAUACAGUCUCUGAACUCUGAACUUGUAGCACAACAGUAGCCUUAGAUGCUAUGCAAAUGGAGGAGCAUGACUGUGUUCCAAUAAAACUUUAUUUAUGGACACUAAAAUUGGAAUUUCAUGGAAUUUUUAUAUGUUAAGAAAUAUUAUACUUUGAUUUUUUUCAACCA
rnacentral:lncRNA from 1 species